rnacentral:tRNA from 1 species
GCCCGCGUAGCUCAGGGGAUAGAGCGUCUGCCUCCGGAGCAGAAGGUCGUAGGUUCGAAUCCUAUCGCGGGCA